rnacentral:lncRNA from 1 species
AAGAACACGUACCAUACAAUCCCACUUAUGUGAGGUCCCUAGAGUAGUCACUUUCAUAGAGAUAGUAGCUGACAGGAGGAGCAUGGGGAGUGACUGUUUAAUGAAUACAGACUUGAAAUUUGGGAAGAGGUAAAAGUUCUGGAGAUGGAUGGUGGUGAUGGGUGGUGAUGAUGGACAUUGGAGAUGGGCAAUGGACAUGGAUGGUGGUGAUGGAUGGUAUAAAUGGAUAUUGGAUGUGGACAGCGGACGUGGACAGUGGAGAUAGAGGGUGGUGAUGGCUGGUGGACAUGGACAGUGAAGAUAGAGAGUAGUGAUGGAUGGUGGAGAUAGAGGGCGGUGAUGGACAGUGGAGAUAGAGGGUGGUGAUGGACAGUGGAGAUAGAGGGUGGUGAUGGACAGUGGACAUGGACAGUGGAGAUAGAGGGUGGUGAUGGACAGUGGAGAUAGAGGGUGGUGAUGGACAGUGGACAUGGAUAGUGGAGACAGAGGGUAGUGAUGGACAGUGGAGAUAGAGGGUGGUGAUGGACAGUGGACAUGGACAGUGGAGAUAAAGGGUGGUGAUGGACAGUGGAGAUAGAGGGUGGUGAUGGACAGUGGAGAUAGAGGGUGGUGAUGGACAGUGGAGAUAGAGGGUGGUGAUGAACAGUGGAGAUAGAGGGUAGUGAUGGACAGUGGACAUGGACAGUGGAGAUAGAGGGUGGUGAUGGAUGGUGGACAUGGACAGUGGAGAUAGAGGGUGGUGAUAGACGGUGGACAUGGACAGUGGACAUGGACGGUGGGGACAGAGGGUGGUGAUGGACGGUGGACACAGACGGUGGAGAUAGAGGGUGGUGAUGGACGGUGGACACGGACAGUGGAGAUAGAGGGUGGUGAUGGACAGUGGAGAUAGAGGGUGGUGAUGGUCAGUGGAGAUAGAGGGUGGUGAUGGACGGUGGAGAUAGAGGGUGGUGAUGGACAGUGGACAUGGACAGUGGAGACAGAGGGGGUGAUGGACAAUGGACAUGGACAGUGGAGAUACAGGGUGGUGAUGGACGGUGGACAUGGACAGUGGAGACCGGGGGUGAUGAACAGUGGACAUGGACAGUGGAGAUAGAGGGUGGUGAUGGACGGUGGACAUGGACAGUGGAGAUAGAGGGUGGUGAUGGAUGGUGGACAUGGACAGUGGAGACAGAGGGUGGUGAUGGACGGUGGAGAUAGAGGGUAGUGAUGGACGGUGGACAUGGACAGUGGAGACGGAGGGUAGUGAUGGAUGGUGGACAUGGACAGUGGAGACAGAGGGUAGUGACGGACGGUGGACAUGGACAGUGGAGACAGAGGGUAGUGAUGGAUGGUGGACAUGGACAGUGGAGAUAGAGAGUGGUGAUGGACAGUGGAGAUAGAAGGUGGUGAUGGACAGUGGAGAUAGAAGGUGGUGAUGGACAGUGGACAUGGACGCUGGAGAUAGAGGGUGGUGAUGGACAGUGGAGAUAGAGGGUGGUGAUGGAUGGUGGACAUGGACAGUGGAGAUAGAGGGUGGUGAUGGAUGGUGGACAUGGAUAGUGGAGUUGAAGGGUGGAGAUGGAGGGUGGUGAUGGAUGGCGGUGAUGGAGGGUGGAGAUGGAGGGUGGUGAUGGAGGGUGGAGGGUAGUGAUGGACAGUGGAGAUGGAGGGUGGAGAUGGUGGGUGGUGAAGGAGGUUGGUGAUGGAGGGUGGUGAUGGGGGCGGAAAUGGAGGGUGGAGAUGCAGGGUGGAAAUGGAGGGUGGUGAUGGACAGCGGAGAUGAAUGGUAGUGAUGGAUGGUGGAGAUGGAGCAUGGAAAUGGUGGGUGGUGAUGGAGGAUGGAGAUGGAGGGUGGUGAUGGAGAGUGGUGAUGGAUGGUGGAGAUGAAUGGUGGUGAUGGACGAUGGAGAUGGAGGAUGGAGAUGGAGGGUGGAUGAAGGGUGGAGAUGGAAGAUAGUGAUGGAGGGUGGUGAUGGAUGGUGGUGAUGGAGGAUGGAGAUGGAGGGUGGAUGGAGGGUGGAGAUGGUGAGUGGUGAUGGAGGGUGGAGAUAAAUGGUGGUAAUGGACAGUGGAGAUGGACAGUCGAAAUGGAGAGUGGUGAUGGAUGGUAGUGAUGGAUGGUGGAGAUGGACAGCGGAGAUGAAUGGUGGUGAUGGAUGGUGGAGAUGGAGCGUGGAAAUGGUGGGUGGUGAUGGAGGAUGGAGAUGGAGGGUGGAGAUGGAGGGUGGUGAUGGAGGGUGGAGAUGAAUGGUGGUGAUGGAUGGUGGAGAUGGAGGAUGGAGAUGGAGGGUGGAUGAAGGGUGGAGAUGGAAGGUGGUGAUGGAGGGUGGUGAUGGAUGGUGGAGAUGAAUGGUGGCGAUGGACGGUGGAGAUGGAGGAUGGAGAUGGAAGGUGGUGAUGGAGGGUGGAGAUGCAGGGUGGAAAUGGAGGGUGGUGAUGGAUAGCAGAGAUGAAUGGUUGUGAUGGAUGGUGGAGAUGGAGGGUGGAAAUGGUGGGUGGUGAUGGAGGAUGGAGAUGGAGGGUGGAUGAAGGGUGGAGAUGAAUGGUGGUGAUGGACGGUGGAGAUGGAGGGUGGACGAAGGGUGGAGAUGGAAGGUGGUGAUGGAGGGUGGAGAU